UACGUAGGGGGCGAGCGUUGUCCGGAUUUAUUGGGCGUAAAGAGCUCGUAGGCGGUUUGGCAAGUCGGGGGGGAAAACUCCGGGCUCAACUCGGAGACGCCACUCGAUACUGCUAUGACUCGAGUCCGGUAGGGGAGUGCGGAAUUCCUGGUGUAGCGGUGAAAUGCGCAGAUAUCAGGAGGAACACCGGUGGCGAAGGCGGCACUCUGGGCCGGAACUGACGCUGAGGAGCGAAAGCGUGGGGAGCGAACAGG
rnacentral:rRNA from 1 species